rnacentral:lncRNA from 1 species
GUUGAGAAAAAUUUCCAUGGAUGGAAUGGAAGCAAAGCAAUGUAAAUUUCCCAUCCAUAAAGUGAGAUAGAGUGAUAUCUUGUAAAGAGAAAAUAAUUGAGAGGUUGUAAAUAAUUUUCUCUUACAUUUAGACAAAGAGGUUUUUUCAAAUAUGUGUGCUCUUUUUCAUAUAAUUUCCUAUCUACCAUCUGUACUGAAGUCAAUAUAAUUUAGCCUUAAUGAUUAAAUUAUCAUAGGAUUUAAGGCUGACUUAACGCUAUCUCUGGGGGAUGAAAAUUGUGGAGCAUUAAGGCCACAUGGCGCUAACGUAUUUCUAGAGUUAUGAAACUAAGCUUUUGACAAUGCGCUUCAUGUCUUCAUUUUCAAGUAUCUGAUGAAUUCUAAUUUGAAUUAAAAAAUUAAGCCA